UUAUGGUCACAUCACGUUGAGAACACCGGCUCCCAUACGAUCAUCGAAGUUAAGCAACGUAGAGCCUGGUCUGUACCAAGAUGGGUGACCGCUUGGGAAUACCAAGUGCAGUAA